GACGUAGGGCGCGAGCGUUGUCCGGAUUUAUUGGGCGUAAAGAGCUCGUAGGCGGCUUGUCGCGUCGACUGUGAAAACCCGCGGCUCAACCGCGGGCCUGCAGCCGAUACGGGCAGGCUAGAGUUCGGUAGGGGAGACUGGAAUUCCUGGUGUAGCGGUGAAAUGCGCAGAUAUCAGGAGGAACACCGGUGGCGAAGGCGGGUCUCUGG
rnacentral:rRNA from 1 species